rnacentral:tRNA from 1 species
AGAAAACUAAGUUAAUAGACUUUCUUAUUUCAAAUAAGACAGUAGGGAUAAAGAUCCCUGUUUUCUG